GUCUUGGUGCAACGUGCCCGCCAAGCUCGAAAAUGUGCUAGGGUACAAAGGUCGCGAUAAGAGUGCCCCGAAGUUCGUGUCCCUCGGUCCUAACGGCGAGUACUUCGUGAGGCUGGA
rnacentral:SRP_RNA from 2 species